GACGAACGCUGGCGGCGUGCUUAACACAUGCAAGUCGAACGGAACGGUCCUGCUUUUGUGGGGUGCUCGAGUGGCGACCGGGUGAGUAACACGUGAGUACCCUGCCCUUGACUUUGGGAUAACUUCAGGAAACUGGGGCUAAUACCGGAUAGGAGCUCCUGCUGCAUGGUGGGGGUUGGAUAGUUUCGGCGGUUGGGGAUGGAAUCGCGGCUUAUCAGCUUGUUGGUGGGGUAGUGGCUUACCAAGGCUUUGACGGGUAGCCGGCCUGAGAGGGGAACCGGCCCAGUUGGGACGGGAAUACGACCCAGACCCGUAUGGUAGGCAAGGGUGGAGAAGGGUACACUAGGGGCGGGACGCUGGAGCAAUCAAGCCGCGUGGGGUAAGACGGCCAGCCGUUUGGGUUGCGCAGUCCCCUUAGACGAAACGAUAGUGACGGUAAUGGGUGAAGAAGCACCGGCUAACUACGUG
rnacentral:rRNA from 1 species